CAGUCAUCUUUAAUACUUGCGUCGGAGCAACUGGCCUCGACAUCGGCCCUGGCACCAGCUCAACCUCCAACGACAGCCGAUCCUCAGGACGAAGCUAUCCUGAAGACCUCCGCAACAGUAGAUACUCUGCUCGAGACCCCUUCAAUCUCACCGGCCGUCCUCCUUGAAUCCUUGCCAGUUACACGUGUCUUGGAGGAGACCAACCCAAAUGUUCCAUCGGCCGCUCCCCUGGAGCCGAUCAUUAUUGAGGAUUCUCCAGACACAAACCCAGAGGGUACGCUUCCGGCGGUGAAUGAGUCAUCUCAACAAGACCUGCCGAUGGAAAGAGCUGCACUCCCCGCUCAAGUUGAGGAGAUAUGCUGGAAGAUGGAACAAGAUACUCCAGACAACAGUCUUUUCUCUUUUCAAGUCGAGGAUCUUCCAGAGGAUGAAGAGGCUGAAUCCCGCCUGCUGGCUUUUGGAACGGUGCUUGAUGAAGUAAGGGUUAAACUUCAAAACAUGCGGGCCCUUCUCUAGCAAGAUAUCGGCCGUCUGGUGGAGGAUGCUGAGCCGAUACGCCGGAUCCUUAGUGAGCUCAAAGGCUAAGUGCCAGAGAACAUAGAGGAAGCCCUCCUUCCCGUAGCGCACAUAGAAGUAAUGCAGAUCCAGGUAACGAAGGCUCUGCAGCGUACUGCCGAUCGUGCCAACCAAGAGAAACUGCGCCAACAGAAGGAUUCUCACAAGCUCCAGGCUGAUGAACUCCAUCACCGGAUAGACUUCCUCAAGAAGUCCCAUCCGAACAUCGUCGGCGAAAUUGAUCGGCUAAAAGCGUGGAAAGCAGAACUUGCUAAAGAGAUGGAGCUCGUCAGCUGUGCCAUCAUUGCUGAAGAGAAAAGGCUGGCUGAGCUUCCAGACGCUAUCAAGGAGCUGGAGCGAGAAAAGCAAAGUCACGCACGCCAAGCCCUUAAGCUUCAUCGGAGUACCUCAGAUGUCCCUGGAUCGGCGAUUGAAGAUCAACAGGUGAUAGAUACGGCCGAUCAGAUCCACCUUCGUGCGAAGAACAACUCCAAAGCUUGUAUCCUUUCGUCCUCUGGAACCAGCAACUCCAUCAACUCACCGAAAUGGCCUCAUCUUCCUUUUCCUCCGUCAACCAGACCUGUUUGAAGACCCGAGCAGCGACGAUCGAGAAGGACCUUCAACCUCAACUUCAAUGGCAAAGAUUUCGACAAACAAAUAUAAGGUAGAUGGUGGCUUUUCAGGAAUCGGUGCUCAUAUACGACUUCGACAAUGAUGAAAGGGAAGACUAAUGACCGUUCUUCGCUCGAGUCGCCUAUGAAGGUGGAGUUCGCCUUAGCUUCUGUUUCCGCUGCGUAGAUAUUUUACCUUUCUUUAUUUAGUCCUGAUGGACUUGUACCAGCAUGUGUUGCUGAGUUGUACUCUUACUUAUGUUAAUUUUACUCAG